ensembl:snoRNA LOC120099026 small nucleolar RNA SNORA17
AUCUAGAGGCAUUGUAAAUGGAGUUGCUGCAUCACAUGGGUGUCAUUAGGUGGGUGACAUUUACCUGUUCAAUGUUCUGAAGUAUGAACUUCUGAAUAAUUAGUACACCAACAUU